UACAGUGAUUGAAAGUGGAUUUGUUAAAACGCAAUCACUUAAUCUUCCAAAAACAGAUGUGUUUAUGAUGCUGUUUGAUACGUGUUUUUGUGUUCCAAACCCACAUUUUAUUUCUUCUGAAUUUAAAAGAUUGAAAGUUACAAGAAGAAUCACAAGAGAGUUGCCGAGAGAGAGAGACAGAGUUGUUACAACACCGUAUAGACGAACAUAAUAUGAAUUAGAAAACUGAAAGACAUUGGACGUUGUACGUGGCAGGAUCUUACUGGGGGAACUACGGUGAGCUGGCGAACCGAAGCUAUAAUUCCCUAUGUCAACAACAUCAUCUGUUACUAAUAACAUAAACACAGAUGUUUCUAAGCCCGGUCCCAUAAAUAAAUAGAGGAGGACUACCACAGAAUUGCUUACAUUAAAGUUUUAAUUUAAAA